UGUAGCGAAAGACAGGUGAGAAUCCUGUCCACCGUAAGACUAAGGUUUCCAGGGGAAGGCUCGUCCGCCCUGGGUUAGUCGGGACCUAAGGAGAGACCGAAAGGUGUAUCCGAUGGACAACAGGUUGAUAUUCCUGUACUAGAGUAUAUAGUGAUGGAGGGACGCAGUAGGCUAACUAAACCAGACGAUUGGAAGUGUCUGGCCAAGCAGUGAGGUGUGAUAUGAGUCAAAUGCUUAUAUCUAUAACAUUGAGCUGUGAUGGGGAGCGAAGUUUAGUAGCGAAGUUAGUGAUGUCACACUGCCGAGAAAAGCUUCUAGCGUUAAUUAUACUCUACCCGUACCGCAAACCGACACAGGUAGUCGAGGCGAGUAGCCUCAGGUGAGCGAGAGAACUCUCGUUAAGGAACUCGGCAAAAUGGCCCCGUAACUUCGGGAGAAGGGGCGCUGACUUAUGGUCAGCCGCAGUGAAUAGGCCCAAGCAACUGUUUAUCAAAAACACAGCUCUCUGCUAAAUCGUAAGAUGAUGUAUAGGGGGUGACGCCUGCCCGGUGCUGGAAGGUUAAGAGGAGUGCUUAGCAAUAGCGAAGGUAUGAAUUGAAGCCCCAGUAAACGGCGGCCGUAACAAUAACGGUCCUAAGGUAGCGAAAUUCCUUGUCGGGUAAGUUCCGACCCGCACGAAAGGCGUAAUGAUUUGGGCACUGUCUCAACGAGAGACUCGGUGAAAUUUUAGUACCUGUGAAGAUGCAGGUUACCCGCGACAGGACGGAAAGACCCCAUGGAGCUUUACUGCAGUUUGAUAUUGAGUAUCUGUACCACAUGUACAGGAUAGGUAGGAGCCUAUGACCUCGGGACGCCAGUUUCGAGUGAGGCGUUGUUGGGAUACUACCCUUGUGUUAUGGCUACUCUAACCCAGAUAGGUUAUCCCUAUCGGAGACAGUGUCUGACGGGCAGUUUGACUGGGGCGGUCGCCUCCUAAAAGGUAACGGAGGCGCCCAAAGGUUCCCUCAGAAUGGUUGGAAAUCAUUCGCAGAGUGUAAAGGUAUAAGGGAGCUUGACUGCGAGAGUUACAACUCGAGCAGGGACGAAAGUCGGGCUUAGUGAUCCGGUGGUUCCGCAUGGAAGGGCCAUCGCUCAACGGAUAAAAGCUACCCUGGGGAUAACAGGCUUAUCUCCCCCAAGAGUUCACAUCGACGGGGGGGUUUGGCACCUCGAUGUCGGCUCGUCGCAUCCUGGGGCUGUAGUCGGUCUCAAGGGUUGGGCUGUUCGCCCAUUAAAGCGGCACGCGAGCUGGGUUCAGAACGUCGUGAGACAGUUCGGUCCCUAUCCGUCGCGGGCGUAGGAAAUUUGAGAGGAUCUGCUCCUAGUACGAGAGGACCAGAGUGGACUUACCGCUGGUGUACCAGUUGUUCUGCCAAGAGCAUCGCUGGGUAGCUAUGUAGGGAAGGGAUAAACGCUGAAAGCAUCUAAGUGUGAAGCCCACCUCAAGAUGAGAUUUCCCAUGAUUUUAUAUCAGUAAGGGCCCUGAGAGAUGAUCAGGUUGAUAGGUUAGAAGUGGAAGUGUGGUGACACAUGUAGCGGACUAACACUAAUAGCUCGAGGACUUAUCC
rnacentral:rRNA from 1 species